UUCCAAUUUCUUUUGCUGAUUUUAUCAUUUCUUUUUUGUUUUUGAAUCCUCUUUCUUCUAAAGCACCAGAAUGACACAAUGAAAGAGUGAGAGAGAGAAACAAUGGAAUUCGAAUUUGUGUGAAUGCAUUUUCUUGAUCCAAUUCUUCUCCAAGUAAAUGAGAAUAAAUAAGAG
rnacentral:ribozyme from 13 species